UAAUAACCCCAAAAUUUUUUUUUUUAUAUAAAAAGGGAUAGAAUAGUCCUUUAAAAUUGAUAUAAGGGGUAAAAUUGGAAGGAAUCAAAAGUUAAUGGCAUAACCGUAGAUAUGUUGAAGUGUUAGGGGCAAAAUGGGAAUUUAAUAAUAUUAAAAAAAGGGUGAAUAGUGUUUUGAUGUGAUUUAAUUAGGGGGUUUGCUGUGGCUUUUGGAUGGAAACCGAGAGAGAGUCACAGGGGAGUCUCAGACGGACAGAGAGGAAGAAAAAGAAGGAGAGGAAAGGAAAGGAAGAAAGGAAGAGGAAAGGAAAGGAAGAGGAAGGAGAUCUCGGUUGCACUUCUAGCUGAAGGGAAAAACGUAGAUCUCCUUCCCCUCUACGCAAGGACCUCGAUUUCCAAAAAGAAAAAGGUAAAUAUCCAUCCCUAUCUAGUCUUUUGAUGACAUUAGGCUAUACAAAGGGUGGAUAUAGUCUAGAGGGGUCGGAUAAGGGUUGUAGAGGCGGUUAAAAAAGGAAGAAUCAGAUUUUGACAAAUUUUUCCGACACUACGGAAAAAUUGUGUCGAAGUCCCAACUUUGGCGAAUUAUUUAGGGGGCCAAACGACCUCCGAUAGUAAUGCAUUUUAUCUCUCUGGAAUUUUCUAUGAGCGUAGAAUGUUAGGUAAAAAUUUCAUCAAAUUUGGAGUCCUGAAAGUGGAUCAAAACCGGGAUGAAGUAACCCACUGUCAGUUCGGGUUACUGUUCAUCCGGGUGGAAAAUAGGGGAUUUCAUGCUAUAAUAGGGUAUUAAGCCUAGAUCAAGCUAAAAGGGACCUUGUACUCAUGCAAGAGAGUCCCUAAUACAUAUAAAUAGUAAGUUAAUUAAUUAAAAAGAAAAAGAAGAAAGAAAAGAAAAGAUUUAGGGAACGGGGGAAUUGAAUCAAUUAAAGUUCCCUAUAUUAUAAUUGGCACGUAGAUUAUAGCCCUUGAUACAAAACUAAAUGUAUUGUAAAUGUAUGUCACAGUUGGGCAAGAAGCUAGGGAACAAGAGGAAGAAGUUUCCCACUGCCUGCUGUAGAUUUUUGGAGGCGUAUCAGGGCUGUGCCAGAUUGACAGGUGAGUGGGA
rnacentral:lncRNA from 1 species